UAGGGAAUCUUCCACAAUGGACGAAAGUCUGAUGGAGCAACGCCGCGUGCAGGAUGAAUGCCUUAGGGUUGUAAACUGCUUUUAUAUGUGAAGAUUUUGACGGUAGCAUAUGAAUAAGGAUCGGCUAACUCCGUGCCAGCAGCCGCGGUCAUACGGAGGAUCCAAGCGUUAUCCGGAAUCACUGGGCGUAAAGAGUUGCGUAGGCGGCAUAGUAAGUAAGCGAUGAAAUCGUGUGGCUCAACCAUACACACAUCGUUUAAACUGCUGAGCUAGAGUAUGGGAGAGGUCACUGGAAUUCCUAGUGUAGGAGUGAAAUCCGUAGAUAUUAGGAGGAACACCGAUGGCGUAGGCAGGUGACUGGCCCAUUACUGACGCUAAGGCACGAAAGCGUGGGGAGCGAACGGG
rnacentral:rRNA from 1 species